AUUGAACGCUGGCGGCAUGCCUUACACAUGCAAGUCGAACGGUAACAGGUCUUCGGAUGCUGACGAGUGGCGAACGGGUGAGUAAUACAUCGGAACGUGCCCGAUCGUGGGGGAUAACGGAGCGAAAGCUUUGCUAAUACCGCAUACGAUCUACGGAUGAAAGCAGGGGACCGCAAGGCCUUGCGCGGACGGAGCGGCCGAUGGCAGAUUAGGUAGUUGGUGGGAUAAAAGCUUACCAAGCCGACGAUCUGUAGCUGGUCUGAGAGGACGACCAGCCACACUGGGACUGAGACACGGCCCAGCAUCCUACGGGAGGCAGCAGUGGGGAAUAUUGGACAAUGGGCGAAAGCCUGAUCCAGCCAUGCCGCGUGCAGGAUGAAGGCCUUCGGGUUGUAAACUGCUUUUGUACGGAACGAAAAGACUCUUUCUAAUAAAGAGGGUCCAUGACGGUACCGUAAGAAUAAGCACCGGCUAACUACGUGCCAGCAGCCGCGGUAAUAC
rnacentral:rRNA from 1 species